UACAGAGGUCCCAAGCGUUGUUCGGAUUCAUUGGGCGUAAAGGGUGCGUAGGCGGCGCGGUAAGUCGGGUGUGAAAUUUCGAGGCUUAACUUCGAAACUGCAUUCGAUACUGCCGUGCUAGAGGACUGGAGAGGAGACUGGAAUUUACGGUGUAGCGGUGAAAUGCGUAGAUAUCGUAAGGAAGACCAGUGGCGAAGGCGGGUCUCUGGACAGUUCCUGACGCUGAGGCACGAAGGCCAGGGGAGCAAACGGG
rnacentral:rRNA from 1 species